CCUACGGGCGGCAGCAGUGAGGAAUAUUGGUCAAUGGCCGGAAGGCUGAACCAGCCAUGCCGCGUGAAGGUCAGUGCCCUAUGGGCGUUAAACUUCUUUUGUGCGGGAGCAAUAAUGGUCACGUGUGGCCAGACGAGAGUACCGUACGAAUAAGCAUCGGCUAACUCCGUGCCAGCAGCCGCGGUAAUACGGGGGAUGCAAGCGUUAUCCGGAUUUAUUGGGUUUAAAGGGUGCGUAGGCUGUGAGGUAAGUCAGCGGUGAAAUGCCCCCGCUCAACGGGGUGAAGUGCCAUUGAUACUGCCUGGCUGGAAGGCGGAUGCCGUGGGAGGAAUGUGUGGUGUAGCGGUGAAAUGCAUAGAUAUCACACAGAACACCGAUUGCGAAGGCAUCUCACGAAUCCGCGAUUGACGCUGAUGCACGAAAGCGUGGGUAUCAAACAGGAUUAGAUACCCGGGUAGUC
rnacentral:rRNA from 1 species